GUGUCUAUGAGAAUUUAACUUGUUGGAGACAGGUGAUUACAUAAAAGUCAUGCUCUACAGAAUUAUGCAGAGGCCU
rnacentral:snoRNA from 1 species